AUCGCUUCUCGGCCUUUUGGCUAAGAUCAAGUGUAGUAUCUGUUCUUAUCAGUUUAAUAUCUGAUACGCCCAGAGAGAGAGAGAGAGAGAGAGA
rnacentral:snRNA from 1 species